rnacentral:rRNA from 1 species
GAUGAACGCUGGCGGCGUGCCUAAUACAUGCAAGUCGAGCGAACAGACGAGGAGCUUGCUCCUCUGACGUUAGCGGCGGACGGGUGAGUAACACGUGGAUAACCUACCUAUAAGACUGGGAUAACUUCGGGAAACCGGAGCUAAUACCGGAUAACAUGUUGAACCGCAUGGUUCAACAGUGAAAGACGGUCUUGCUGUCACUUAUAGAUGGAUCCGCGCCGCAUUAGCUAGUUGGUAAGGUAACGGCUUACCAAGGCAACGAUGCGUAGCCGACCUGAGAGGGAGUCCCGACACAGUAGUAGACAGACCGGGUAAAAUCCUGUGGAGGGGGCAGGGUGGGGAGAUUCUCCAGGAUGAUCAAACCCCGGACGGCGACUCUCCGUGUGAGUGAGAAAGGUCUUAGGAUAGAAAAACUGUGUUAUUGGGAAAAAAAAAAUUGCAAUUUAUCUGUGCACUUCUUGCCGUUACCUAAGAAAAAAACCCCGGCUAACUCCGUC